GUAACCUACGGGAGGCAGCAGUAGGGAAUCUUUCACAAUGGGCGAAAGCCUGAUGGAGCAACGCCGCGUGCAGGAUGAAGGCCUUUGGGUUGUAAACUGCUUUUAUAAGCGAGAAAUAUGAUGGUAACUUAUGAAUAAGGAUCGGCUAACUACGUGCCAGCAGCCGCGGUAAUACGUAGGGGGCGAGCGUUGUCCGGAAUUACUGGGCGUAAAGAGAGCGUAGGCGGCACUACAAGUCUCAUGUGAAAUACCCGGGCUUAACUUGGGGGUUGCAUGGGAAACUGUAGAGCUUGAGUACA
rnacentral:rRNA from 1 species